rfam:Tupaia chinensis contig90110, whole genome shotgun sequence.
GGACUCACUUUGGCAGUACAUAUACUAAAAUUGGAACAAUACAGAGAUUAACAUGGUCCCGUGCAAGGAUGACAUGCAAAUUCGUGAAGCAUUCCACAUUCUU